rnacentral:lncRNA from 1 species
AAAUAGCCAGCAACAAUAUGCAUAGAUGAAGAUGACACAACGAAAAAUACAUUUUUCUAAGAAUGGUGAUAUUGAUCACAAAAUCAAAUCAAGGAAAUACCAAAGGUAUUUUAUUUCUAGUUAAUCUCACUCUAAACCUUUGUUAGUCUACAUAUAUUUUUAGUUUUCUCUUCGAUUUUGUUUCUUGCUUUAUACUUAGUUAUUAAACCAAAAGGCCUUUGUUUUACAGAACAUAUAAGUUUUUAGAGAUAUAUAAUGUAUGUCUACUAUUUUACAAUAUUUAUUUACCUAUUUAAUAAAAAAAAGUAUAGUAAGUGGUGAUUAUUCUCAUAGAACAUGUCAAUCUUAUUCAUUAUGUUGUAAAUUUGUCAUGAGUGUAGGAACGACAAAGAAAAGAGAUGAGCAUGUCAAGUGUUGCAGAGUCCUCAUGGUGAAAUGUGAGUCUGUAGAUGCUAAUGAACCCUAAAGAGAUACGAUAAUUUUCAAUGCAACAUGAAGGAUCUCAUCAGAUUCGCAAAGAAUUGUUUGUAGAAUCUAUAGAAAGGAAUGCAGAAUGUGCUGCUUUUAUCUUUAGGAUGACAUGUGGGUUCGAAGUGGCUAAUUCUACCGUUUGGAAUUUAGAGUAAUUUGUUCAAACUAUUAUGUAUUGAGUUGAU